rnacentral:ncRNA from 1 species
CAUGCAAGUAUUCACCACCCCGGUGGAGGAUGGCCUAAAACUACCCUCAAGAAGUUAGGGAGCAGGGUAUCAGGCACAAUAAAAAUAUUUAGCCCACAACACCCUUGUUUAGCCACACCCCCAAGGGAUUUCAGCAGUGAUUAAUAUUAAGCCAUGAGUGUAAACUCGACUUAGUUAAGGCCAGACUUAGAGCCGGUAAAACUCGUGCCAGCCACCGCGGUUAUACGAGAGGCUCAAGUUGAUAGAUAUCGGCGUAAAGAGUGGUUAAAAAAUAAUAAAACUAAAGACAAACACCUUCAAAGCUGUUAUACGCAACUGAAAGCAGGAAAAACUCCUACGAAAGUGGCUUUAAAACCAUGAACCCACGAAAACUGGGACACAAACUGGGAUUAGAUACCCCCCUAUGCCCAGUCCUAAACACAAGUGGCACCUUCACACCUGUCACUCGCCUGAGUACUACAAGCACCAGCUCAAAACCCAAAGGACUUGGCGGUGCUUUAGAACCUCCUAGAGGAGCCUAUUCUAUAACCGAUAAUCCCCGUUCAACCUCACCCUUUCUUGCCACUCCCGCCUAUAUACCGCCGUCGUCAGCUUACCCUGUAAAGGCUUUAUAGUAAGCAAAAUUGGUACAACCCAACACGUCAGGUCGAGGUGCAGCAUAUGAAAGGGAAAGAAAUGGGCUACACUCCCUGAAACAGGAAACACAAAUGAUAACUUGAAAUAGUUACCUGAAGGUGGAUUUAGUAGUAAGAAGGAAAAUAGAGAAUUCCCCUGAAAAUGGCUCUGAAGCGCGCACACACCGCCCGUCACUCUCCCCAAGCACCACAAACCCUAACAUAUAGAAUAAUAACCGCAAAGGGGAGGCAAGUCGUAACAUGGUAAGUGUACCGGAAGGUGUACUUGGAAUAA